rnacentral:rRNA from 1 species
GUCCUACGGGGGGCUGCAGUGGGGAAUUUUGGACAAUGGGCGCAAGCCUGAUCCAGCAAUGCCGCGUGUGUGAAGAAGGCCUUCGGGUUGUAAAGCACUUUUGUCCGGAAAGAAAUCUCCUGGGUUAAUACCUCGGGGGGAUGACGGUACCGGAAGAAUAAGCACCGGCUAACUACGUGCCAGCAGCCGCGGUAAUACGUAGGGUGCGAGCGUUAAUCGGAAUUACUGGGCGUAAAGCGUGCGCAGGCGGCUAUGCAAGACAGAUGGGAAAUCCCCGGGCUCAACCUGGGAACUGCAUUUGUGACUGCAUGGCUAGAGUGCGUCAGAGGGAGGUGGAAUUCCGCGUGUAGCAGUGAAAUGCGUAGAGAUGCGGAGGAACACCGAUGGCGAAGGCAGCCUCCUGGGAUGACACUGACGCUCAUGCACGAAAGCGUGGGGAGCAAACAGGAUUAGAUACCCCAGUAGUCU